rnacentral:misc_RNA from 1 species
AAGUCGUAACAAGGUCUCCGUUGGUGAACCAGCGGAGGGAUCAUUAAAGAGUUGCAAAACUCCCACAAACCAUCGCGAACGUUACCCGACGUCGUUGCUUCGGCGGGCUCGCCCGCCGGGGGGACGCUACCAAGAACUUUUGCAGUCAUUGGCCUCUCUGAGUACGAUUUUUAAAUAAGUCAAAACUUUCAACAACGGAUCUCUUGGUUCUG